UUGUUGUUUCGGUUGUGAGGUUUGUUUCGAGGCAGUUGCCGAGUAAGAGAAGAGACUGGCUGAUGAGAAGUCUCUGACGAAACCUUUUGGAGGUUUACAAGAAGCAAGACGGUUACACCACCAUCUAUGGAUGAACUUCAGUGUUAUUCCAAACAUGACAAAUGGCUUAUUGUCUUCAACUUUAAAUUUAAAGAUGGUGGAACUUUAGAUGCUGCUGCUGGCUUAUUUCUCAAUAUUUUGGCAAAUGACAUAGCUAUUAGCCAAGUAUUGAGUAUUUGCUAUCUAUUCAACAGGCAACAGACCACACAAACACUGGAAAUUUGGUCUUUACCACAGCAUCAAUACUUAUCAUUCAUAGUAUGCAUUUGGAGAUUGGCAACAUCCGGGACCUUUGGGUCAGAGUUUGAGUGCGGGAGGGCCACAGGUCUGCAAACUAACACACAAUUGUCUCUCUCUUCGGAGUGUCAGGUUCUGUCUACAGCAAGUAUCUACGGCAAGUACAGCAAGAGUGAAGUACAUCAUAGUGACUUCUGCUACAGUAGUGUUAGAUUGCGGUGUUAGAUUGCAGAAUAGUGAUUGCAUUAUCUAACCUGGGCCCUAAGGGUCCUUGUAAACA